AGGACGAGGAGCGUGCGGCGACUCCAAUCAUUCUUGACGACGAGGAGCGUGCGGCGACUCCAAUCAUUCUUGACGGGAGUGAUGACAAAGGACACGAUGGACCGGAUGGCAAAGCAGAAAUGAGAGAUCUGACACGAGACUUCAUGGAAACCAAUCCUAGUGUUGUGAACGGCCACCAAGUCUUUGAAGGAGACAUGGUCUUGACGGAGAGCCAGUGGCGAGCGGUCAGGGAGAGGAAGGCCCUUGCAGACCUCUCAGCGCGCUGGCCUGAACAGGGCGGCUUCCCCACCGUGCCCUACUACCUCGACACUACCGACUCCGUCACUGUGGCUGCCAUAAAUGCAGCGAUUGCUCACUGGGAGCAAAACACCUGCAUCAGAUUCCAGCUCACGUCCAACCUCGCUCAACGGCACGUCAGGUUUUUUGAAGGGUCUGGAUGCUGGUCGUAUGUCGGCAUGUUGGCCCAGAAUAGACAAGACAUUUCCAUUGGAAG